UUGAGACCAGCCUAGACAACACAGCAAGACCCCAUCUCAAAAUAAAAUAUCAAAAUAAAAUAAAUGUUAAAUAUAAGCAAUUACGGGCACAGCAGACACCAGGACUCCAAGAUGCUGUCAAUCGCACUAGUGAAGGACAAAAUCUGGAGGUCCAACUAGGCGAGCUGCAACGCUGGAUCCUGAUGUAGGACUUCACCCCUAGCGGCAUUGCCAGAGCGUUUCAAAGAGAGUGCCACCAGUACUACGACAAGUACAUCAGCGUGAAGAAGGGGGCAUUUCAGGGGUUACCAUGGUGCUGGCAGGCCACGUGCUUUUCAGCUACUGCCUUUCCUACAAGCUCAAGCAUGAGCAGCCACGCAACUACCACUGAAGAAGAGGACACGCUCUGCACGCCCCCACAACCUUCUUGGCCCGAACCCCUCCAUGAGGGUCACAAUCUCAAUCGUUGCUGAAUCCUUUCAUAUUCUAAUGGGAAUUAACCUCCAAAUAAAAGAUGACUGAU